UCUCUCUCAAAGUACUCCCUCAAGCUCCUCUCUCUAAAAAUCCCUAACUCCCUUGUAACAGAUAGAAUUAUUUCAAGAAAGAGCAAGCUCUAAAGCAAAAUUCUCUAGUACCAGUAAAGAAGAUUUCAAGAAAAAAUUGAUCGAUGCCUAUCCCAAAUUAAUGAUGAAGAAAAGCUGAAAUUUUCUCAAGAUCCUGCUCGAGAAAAUGAAGAUGAUUGCUAAGGAAUUUUCAUCCCAAUUUAAUAAAAGUGUGACCCAGCCAAUCAAAAUGUCGGAUAAAGAAGAAAUCCAAACAACCAAUGAAAUUUCAGAUUACCAGAGAGAAGAAGAUAAGAUGACUCAAGCAAUGACAUCAUUGGAAGGAUAUUCUCAAGCAUAUCUCUCUUAUCAACUCUAUAUAAAGAAGAGGAAGGUAGCCAAACGAAGCAAGCGAAGAAGAACUUCUCUCUAAAAUUACUCUCUCAAGCUCCUCUCUCUAAAACCCUUAGUCUUUCAAAAUGCCCAAAAUCCCUUGUAAUAGAUAGGAUUAUUUCAAGAAAGAGCAAGCUCUAAAGUAAAAUUCUGUAAGUUCUCUAAUAAUAUUUCAAAUUUUAUA